rnacentral:rRNA from 1 species
UUAGUACGGCGAGUGAAGCGGCAAAAGCUCAAAUUUGAAAGCUAGCACCUUCGGUGUUCGCGUUGUAAUUUGAAGAUAGUUUCCUUGAGUAGUCCUUUAUCUAUGUUCCUUGGAACAGGACGUCAUAGAGGGUGAGAACCCCGUAUGAUUUUGGAUACUACUCUUUGUGGGAUUCUAUCGAAGAGUCGAGUUGUUUGGGAAUGCAGCUCUAAGUGGGUGGUAAAUUCCAUCUAAAGCUAAAUAUUGGCGAGAGACCGAUAGCGAACAAGUACAGUGAUGGAAAGAUGAAAAGAACUCUGAAGAGAGAGUGAAAAAGUACGUGAAAUUGCUGAAAGGGAAGGGCUUGAGGUCAGACUUGGUGUUUAAUGAUUAUCAGUUCUUCUUGGACUGUGCACUCGUUUUUCACCGGGCCAAUAUCAGUUUUAGCGGUAGAGUACCCCUUGAAAUGUGGCUUCCUUCGGGGAGUGUUAUAGUCUUGGGGAGAUCUACUUGCUGGGACUGAGGACUGCGCUUCGGCAAGGAUAUUGGCGUAAUGACCUUAAGCCGCCCGUCUUGAAACCA